AAUGGUGAGUGAAAUUUAUACAAACCUAAAAGAAAAAGAUUAAAUUUGUAGUUCCACGUCAUACCAGAUUUUUAGAAUGUAGUUUUAUGUUAUAUAUUAUAGAUAAUAUGGUUUACGUCACGAUUUGGACGCAUAUCUAUGAAAACAGAUGGUAGAGCAUGAAGGAGCUCGUUCGACUUCUUCCUGCGUGCCUUUCUCUACCUUCUAUCUCCUUAUGAUAUAUGAGACUAGGUUACCAGAAAAAUAGAAGCAAUGCAAAUGAAAAUUCGUUGGCAC